rnacentral:rRNA from 1 species
AGCAGCCGCGGUAAUUCCAGCUCCAAUAGCGUAUAUUAAAGUUGUUGCAGUUAAAAAGCUCGUAGUUGAAUUUCGGGAUUAGUAGUCUGGUCGUGCCACUGGUAUGUACUGGUCUUACUGAUUUCUCCUUCCUGAAGAACUGUAAUGUCAUUAAUUUGGUGUUGCGGGGAAUCUGGACUGUUACUUUGAAAAAUUAGAGUGUUUAAAGCAGGCUAACGCUUGAAUACAUUAGCAU